rnacentral:misc_RNA from 1 species
AUUCGGCACUGGUCAGCCCUAACAGAAAGCAAGGUCAGAGAAUAAAAUACAUAAGCUGCACACUCCUCCAUGCACCAAAUCCACCAAAGAAAUCCAGAUACAUUAACAAUUUUCAAUUAAAAAGCCUAAGCUUUCAUGAUCCUUCCACAACAGUUAUAAUAGUUCUAUCUACAUCUAAAGAAACAUCGGAAGAUGAUAAACUUAUUAAUGCAAAUACAUUCCCAUUAUCAAUGACAUAAAAUUUUCUCAGCUCACAGCUAGCUAACAAGCAAGCAAAUGAGACAAUGAAGGGCAAAAAAGAAGGGGACAAUUCUAG